rnacentral:rRNA from 1 species
GGGUUGUGAGGUUAAGCGACUAAGCGUACACGGUGGAUGCCCUGGCAGUCAGAGGCGAUGAAGGACGUGCUAAUCUGCGAUAAGCGCCGGUAAGGUGAUAUGAACCGUUAUAACCGGCGAUUUCCGAAUGGGGAAACCCAGUGUGACUCGUCACACUAUCAUUAACUGAAUCCAUAGGUUAAUGAGGCGAACCGGGGGAACUGAAACAUCUAAGUACCCCGAGGAAAAGAAAUCAACCGAGAUUCCCCCAGUAGCGGCGAGCGAACGGGGAGGAGCCCAGAGCCUGAAUCAGCAUGUGUGUUAGUGGAAGCGUCUGGAAAGGCGCGCGAUACAGGGUGACAGCCCCGUACACAAAAGCGCAUGUGCUGUGAGCUCGAUGAGUAGGGCGGGACACGUGGUAUCCUGUCUGAAUAUGGGGGGACCAUCCUCCAAGGCUAAAUACUCCUGACUGACCGAUAGUGAACCAGUACCGUGAGGGAAAGGCGAAAAGAACCCCGGCGAGGGGAGUGAAAAAGAACCUGAAACCGUGUACGUACAAGCAGUGGGAGCACAGGUUUACCUGUGUGACUGCGUACCUUUUGUAUAAUGGGUCAGCGACUUAUAUUCUGUAGCAAGGUUAACCGAAUAGGGGAGCCGGAGG